rnacentral:lncRNA from 9 species
CAAACCUCGGUCUGAGCCCAAAGCCUGUUGCAGAGUUUGCCUAUGGCUCAGUGGGUGAAGGAUCUGGUAUCGUCACUGCUGUGGCUCGGUUCGAUCCCUGGCCUGGGAACUUCUACAUGCCACAGGUACAUCCAAAAAUAAAUAAAAAUAAAUCUCCUCCUGUCUUCCACCAAGUGAAAUGUGAGUUUGGAAAGGGAAAAAUUCUCAACAGUGCAUCUCAGUUUCAGAGAAAUCAUGACAGCUCUGCCAGCUCAAGGCUCAAAGUCUUGAGUACCCAGCCCUUCAGUUUUAGGUAGGGCAUAGGUGUCAACCAGCAGGCUGAGUUGAUAACAAUCACUUUGUGACCCAACCACCCUCCCACACCCCCACCAAAUCAGCUAGAUAGAAUCUGGCAGGGCUGAUAAAUUGCUACCUUAGACAGGUGGAAGCAAGGGGGAAAUGCAGGCCAAAAGACAGCAAAAAAAGAAGCGUGCAAAAACGAAAGCAAAAAAACCUGAGACUGAACCCUAAUGCAUCUGGUGCAGGCUCUUGCAAAUUCCCAGCUGCAUGAGGACCAAAUUAGUUAAUAAGAAAUGAAUACAAAAAUGCCUGAGCUCAGUGGAGCUGUCCUGAGUUUCAUUUCCUGAGAAGGAGCUUCUAACAGUGAUCCAGGAAAUUCUGGCCACCUGCAGUGUGCAAAGGCAGCUGGCCAGGCAAGGAAGCUGGCGCCAGGUCCCAGGGCCCCUCCCUGGAGGGAGCAAAGGCCUCUCGGGUUGCAGCUGCAGAAAGAGGGAGGAGAGAAGAGGGACAGGAUGGAGUGGAGAGCCUUGGAGGCAGUGGUUUGGACAUCAACUCGGUCCUGAGGUUGUCAAGUUUAAUCCUCAACUCCUGAAAGUUCCCAGAAGCAGACAUUCUUUUUUUUUUUUUUUUUUUUUGCAUUGUUCUGUUCCAGGAGCUACGAACUCAAGUGUCUACAGAACAUGUCAGAUAGCAUAAACAAGAGAAGUGGCCAAGGCUAAUAAAGAUCAUUCAGCUCUCUUGGUCUGGCUUUUGCUUUCUCACUUUUGACAGAGACAUGAAAGCAGAGGAAUAGUUCUUACUAUAAAAAUGCACACACAGUACAGUCAGUGAUGGGGGCAAGUGACACUCAUCCUUGGUUGGGGAGCAGUAGACUGUGGGUGGUGACUGUGGCACACCUCCUACCAGCCAGUUUGCUGUUUUGCAGAAAUCUGGCCCAGUGUGGCCAGAAAUUACCAUUUUUAAAGAGAAGCUGGAAAUCCAGAUUUGUAUGUGGUGUCUCCC